AGGGUACCGUCAGGCCUAACGUGUAUUAUACGUUAGGAGGUUNUUCCCCUCUGACAGAGCUUUACGACCCAAGAGCCUUCAUCACUCACGCGGUAUUGCUGCGUCAGGCUUUCGCCCAUUGCGUAAAAUUCCC
rnacentral:rRNA from 1 species